rnacentral:rRNA from 1 species
UGCCAGCCGCCGCGGUAAUACGGAGGGUGCAAGCGUUAAUCGGAAUUACUGGGCGUAAAGGGUGCGUAGGUUGUUGAUUAAGUUAUCUGUGAAAGACCCGGGCUUAACCUGGGGGUGUCAGAUGAAACUGAUUGACUAGAGUAUGGUAGAGGGUAGUGGAAUUUCCGGUGUAGCGGUGAAAUGCGUAGAUAUCGGAAGGAACACCAGUGGCGAAGGCGACUACCUGGGCUAAUACUGACACUGAGGCACGAAAGCGUGGGUAGCGAACAGGAUUAGAUA